rnacentral:rRNA from 1 species
UGCUAACUAUGCAGUCGAACGGUGAAGCCAAGCUUGCUUGGUGGAUCAGUGGCGAACGGGUGAGUAACACGUGAGCAACCUGCCCUGGACUCUGGGAUAAGCGCUGGAAACGGCGUCUAAUACUGGAUAUGAGACGUGAUCGCAUGGUCGUGUUUGGAAAGAUUUUUCGGUCUGGGAUGGGCUCGCGGCCUAUCAGCUUGUUGGUGAGGUAAUGGCUCACCAAGGCGUCGACGGGUAGCCGGCCUGAGAGGGUGACCGGCCACACUGGGACUGAGACACGGCCAGACUCCUACGGGAGGCAGCAGUGGGGAAUAUUGCACAAUGGGCGAAAGCCUGAUGCAGCAACGCCGCGUGAGGGAUGACGGCCUUCGGGUUGUAAACCUCUUUUAGCAGGGAAGAAGCGAAAGUGACGGUACCUGCAGAAAAAGCGCCGGCUAACUACGUGCCAGCAGCCGCGGUAAUACGUAGGGCGCAAGCGUUAUCCGGAAUUAUUGGGCGUAAAGAGCUCGUAGGCGGUUUGUCGCGUCUGCUGUGAAAUCCCGAGGCUCAACCUCGGGCCUGCAGUGGGUACGGGCAGACUAGAGUGCGGUAGGGGAGAUUGGAAUUCCUGGUGUAGCGGUGGAAUGCGCAGAUAUCAGGA